UCCCUGGUAGUCCAGUGGUUAGGACUCUGUGCUGUCACUGUCAAGGGCCUGGGUUCAAAUCCUGGUGGGGGAA
rfam:TPA: Bos taurus chromosome 7, whole genome shotgun sequence.